AUGUGUCUUGUGGGGCGAAGGAAACUUUGGUGGGGCGACAACGAGGACAGGAGAAAAACUCAUUGGUUGGCUUGGGAUAAAUUGACUAGGCCCAAAUGUGAGGGGGACAUGGGUUUUCAGGAUCUAAGAUUAUUUUACCAAGCCCUUCUGGCUAAGCAGGCUUGGAGAUUGGUGGUUAACCCAGACUCCUUAUGCGCCAAGGUGAUGAAGGCAAAAUAUUAUCCCCAGGGGCAUAUUCUUGACACAACUUUUCCCCAAGCGGCAUGGCUCACUAGGAAAGGUGUAUUACAUGGAUUGGAUCUUCUUAAAUCUGGCACUAGUAGAAAAGGGGGCAAUGGUCGAGGCCGAGUCAGCCCAUUAGUCUCGGUUCAAUCCAGAACCGGGACCAAUGGGGGCAUUGGACCCGGUUCGUGA
rnacentral:rRNA from 1 species